rnacentral:rRNA from 1 species
UACGUAGGGGCCUAGCGUUGUCCGGAAUUAUUGGGCGUAAAGAGCUCGUAGGCGGUUCGUCGCGUCGGCUGUGAAAUCCCGAGGCUCAACCUCGGGUCUGCAGUCGAUACGGGCGGACUGGAGUUCGGCAGGGGAGACUGGAAUUCCUGGUGUAGCGGUGAAAUGCGCAGAUAUCAGGAGGAACACCGGUGGCGAAGGCGGGUCUCUGGGCCGAUACUGACGCUGAGGCGCGAAAGCCAGGGGAGCGAACGGG